rnacentral:rRNA from 1 species
GACGAACGCUAGCGGUGUGCUUAAUACAUGCAAGUCGAACGGAUGCUUCGGCAUCAGUGGCGGACGGGUGAGUAACACGUAGGAAAUCUGCCCUUUAACGGGGGAUAACGUCGGGAAACCGUCGCUAAUACCCUAUACGUCUUAGGUUGAAACACUUAAGAUAAAAGCUCCGGUGCUAAAGGAUGAGCCUGCGCCUGAUUAGCUUGUUGGCAGGGUAAUGGCCUACCAAGGCGACGAUCAGUAGCUGGUCUGAGAGGAUGAUCAGCCACAAUGGGACUGAGACACGGCCCAUACUCCUACGGGAGGCAGCAGUGGGGAAUAUUGGACAAUGGGGGGAACCCUGAUCCAGCCAUGCCGCGUGCAGGAAGAAGGCCUUCGGGUUGUAAACUGCUUUUGUACGGAACGAAAAGGUUUGGGUUAAUACCCUGGGCCGAUGACGGUACCGUAAGAAUAAGCACCGGCUAACUACGUGCCAGCCGCCGCAGUAACAC